UGUCUAUGUGAGGGGCAUUUGCCAGCAGUUAUGUCAGUCAUAAAAUGUUACCUCUGUCCACCCUAAAAUGACAGAGACAUGCCUAGAAAAUUAUAGACCUUGUUUUUGGCAAUGAAGUUUAGAUACAGCAAAUACAGUUUUGUUGGCACAGAGCCCCACUGAUUGCACGUUUCCAUGCUGCAAGUACUUGGGGUUCCUUAGCUGUAUUAAAUAAAUUGUGAUAAUUUCAUUUAUGUAUCAAUGUAUUUAAACUUCAUGUUUUCAUUCCUGAGCUAUAUGGAUGGAUGCUAGACACUGGCCAACAACACUGUUUUGCAAGCAAUGAACUUCUCAAGCCAUUGGUGAAUUUCGCUUGGGAAGGCUGUUUGUCUGAGUAAUAGUUAAAUGAUUGAAUUUCUUACUUCUAGGAGCAUGCAACUGGUUUUAGUUGCAUCCAAAAGCUUGUUUCUACAAGCCCAGCACACACAGGGUCCAGUUGGGGUUUUUUGUUGUUUGUUUCCUGUCCCUCUCCCUUCCACCUCUGUUUGGGGGAUUAAAGCAUGAGGCCCUGUAGCUAUAUUUAAAUACUGCCCAAAGUCACAGCCAGUUACUCAAAAGAUUUUCUGAGGGAAAAAUUCUGAGGUUAAAUUUCAAAAUUUGUGACAUCCUUUAAAAAUACAUUUUUCCUUUCUUAUUAUUAUAAAUUUAUUUUUGAAAUCUCUUUGAGUACCAGGAUAAGGAGUAAGAGUGGAAAGGGAUGUGUUUGAUGUUUGGCUUGGCUGUUGCCUUCUACCUGUUGCCAGGUUCACAGAGCUGAUGGUAGCGAAGCCAUGGGAAAAAGGUGCAGAGAAAGAUUAUGUGCGUCAGCAACUUUUUCUUGUACUAUCCAGAGUACAGUUAUCUGUUCCAGCAAAACAGAGUGAUUUAUAUUUUGAUGUCCUUGAGCUUCUACAUAAACAGGUGAAGUCUGUUUAUUCCCUGGUACAUUUAUUUGCAUAUUCCUGAUACAGUGUCAUUCUGGUUAACAUUUCAUAACCCGAGUGUAAAAGGACAUGAACUCCCAUCAACUUGUUUUUCUCUAACCUUUCUCAACUCCUUUGAGUGCUAAUGUACCAUGACUGUGCUACUACCCAGUUGAGAAGUCUGUGUUAUUUGGGAGGAAGGACAUGCCAUCUUUCCAGAUAGUUUUACAAAAGACUUUGUUGAUACUACUGGUUUACUAACUCCUAACAGCAGGUUUUAUUCCUUUAUAGCAAGACUAAUGCUAAAUGAUAUCAUUGCCCUUACCCUUAAAUAGAGGCUGCCAUUUGUUUUCCCCCCCAUCUUGUGUAAACAACUAUGGGUGGCUUUGUACAAGAAGGAAAGAUACUCAGAAAUCGCAGACUCUAAAAAUACUUCUUUCUUAAGUAAAGGUUACUUGCUUCAGUGAAUAUUGCACCCACAGUUUUCCAGAGACUUCCAGGUUAAAUAAAUCGGGGUUACAGUUAUGCAACUUUGUGCAUAUUCAGUAAUUCUUGAAACAAAUAAUACUUUUAUUAAUUAUUUGAAAUAUAUACAGAAAUAAUGUUGAUGUCAUUACCUUGUACAUUCUUAUAUGGGAGGGGGGAUAAAGCCGUGGAAAAUCUGGAGCGUGCCUUAUUUACAUAUUUUUUUAAUUUUUUUUUUUUUAACUAAGACUUGGAUAUUUUUCUGCAUUUGGAUCAUUUCUUCCCCCAAAUUUGUAUCUCAAGCGGCAGAUUCAGAACCCCGGCGUCCCCAGGCAGGCCGAUACGCCGGCGGUGUUUGGGGAAAGCCCUGCGCCAGUUCCCGGGCUCUGGCCAAGGAGGAGUCGGCUCCUCUCCUCUCGCAGGGACAGGUGAACCCGCAGAAGGUCUGGUGCAGCAAGAGCAGCCUCCCGCGGCAGUGGCCGCUGUCGGUAAACUGAUUGAAUAACUGUCUAAGGCAUGGAAGAAUCUGCAGCACACUGGUGAUACUUGACAACAAAAGGAGCCCGUGGUGAUUAGUCCUGAUCCAGUUCUUUUGCACAGCAGACUUCUACAUCUGGACAUCUAUGCAGCAUUUUUCUUUUCUCACUGAGAUGAAAAAAUGGAAGUUUGUUAUAUAAUCAUGAGGAAAAGAAGCAGCUGAGCCUCAGAAUCUUCAAGAUACAAAAAUUAUUUUAAACCAUUAAUUUUCUAUACCAACUUUGCAGUUGAACACUCAAGUGCCUCAAGGUACAAGACCUGAGUCCCACUUAUGUAAAACAACUUUUAGAUGAAGUCUGCUGAACAGCUUUUCAUCAUGGCUACCCUUCUCUCCCAUUCUACUAUUUCCAUCAGAGACAUGCACAUCUAACAGGGCAAUUGUGUGGCCUUACAAGUAGAAGCAACCACAGCCACAGAUGCCUACACUGGAUGAGCACCUGUCCAAUCUACACAAAAAGGGAAGUAAAUCAAGGGGUAGCAUAUUUACUGAUUCUCUGUACAGAACAAAGUGAUAAAAUAUGGAGAAAUGGAAAAAAAAAUUAGCAUGAUUUAGAGGGGAGAGAGUAGAGAGAAUGGUUGUGAUCCUUUAGAAACAGCUUUUGCAGGAGACAGCAGAUAAAUCUAAAUAUGUUCUUUUUUCAAAGAUAAAACCUUCUCGCUAAUAGUAUGUCUACUGAGGUAGCAGUUUGCAGGUACAGGUUUGUUCUUUCACAUUCCACACUGCAAAACAGCAAAUAAAAUGUGAUAGUGUGGGACCCCAUAAGCUUAUUCAUCUGCCCAAAGGGGUAGUGUGUUUCUGCAGUUCCAAAGAAUAUUUUCUGCUGCACUCUUGCCCUAACUAACUUAUACUUUCUGAAAUUAUUUUCCUAGCUUUGCUUGAUUAUAUUAAAAGCUUUGCAGAACUCAAUUUGAUAUAUUAAAAACCUUCAUAUAUCCAAAUUUCCCUACUUCUGCCCCAAGAGGGCAUGCAUUUUGUUCACAAAUCUGCGCUCAUUUCACAACUUAAUUGAGGGGCAUCACUGACUGUAGUCUUUCUGAUCAGAUGGAGUUUACCGUCACUACUUUAUUCACUUCUCAAAGUUUUGCAGUGUUUCUGUUUACUUUGCCGUGAAAGAAUCUACAGAGAUUUUUUUUCUACAGAAAUAAUUUUCAUGAGGUAGAUUUCUCCAAUCAAGCAUCCAGUAUUAUUAAUGCACAAUCUAACAUCACCCCACUUGGUUGAGAAUGGGUAUGUGGGUAUGCUCAGUCUUUUGAACAGACAAGAAUAAUCACAGCAUUAUUGUUUUCUAUAUUUGCCCUUAAUGAAAAAAAUAGUAUUAAAUAGUCUAGCAUUUCUAAAAAUGUAAGUUUCUCGGACCUACUCAUCAUGUCAUUCUAAUAUUAGUAAGUUUCCCAUAGUGAUCAUCUGCUAUGUCAUAGGAAAAUGCUGCCUUCUGUUAGGUACAACCUGAAGUGAGAAUAACCUUAUCUGUCACAUUAAUGGAGGAAUCAUAGAAUUACCUAAUGCCCUAAACAAAAUUAAUUUCAAAUACUUAAUCUUAUCAAUAAAUUCCUGUUUGUUGCCCACUCAUAUAUGCCAACCAGGUUUUUAGUUGUUGCAUACAUGCCAUUCACAAUAAACCCGACCAUUUUUUUGUGGAUUUCUCGCUGCAGAAAUGGUUACCAAAUGAGAAUGGUGACUCUACAGAUGAAAAUGCCUGAGUAUAUUUCACCAAACCAAGAUAAACUCUUGUGACAUGUUCCUUUCUUGCAGUUGUGGGGCAAUUUAUCCAUUUAAGGCCCUUGAAAGUUAAUAUUCCCAAACCUUUUGAAAUUGCUGGCUGUCUGUGUUCUUCAUCACUACUGAGCCUCACCGUUUCAUGAAUUAUUUCUUAGUCAGUUCUCUUCACAGCUUCAACUGUGCACAUGACCCUGUCCCUAAAGGUAUGCAAAUAGCCCCAGGAAUCUCUCAGUGGUCUUCAGUGCUUCUUGCCUGAUGAUCAAUAGUUCUUUAAAAACAAAACUCCCUUCGAAAGUUGUGAUGAAAUGAGAGAAAUCAUAGAAAAUACUCCACCACUUUCUGUACUGGAGUACUCACAGUAAGCAAGCAUGGAAAAAAACAGAAGGGUAAGGCAACAAACCAUGGAAUCUCCCAAGAAUGCAAAGCAGCAAUGUUGUAACAGCUGUGUAGGCAUAGCAGUUCCAGAGCACUGUGUGUAGACGUGAUUAUUCUGAACGCAAAUUGCAUCAUCAAGGAUAUUGAAACACCCUGGACAUACUGCUCCCUGUUUCAGAGACAUAGAUACAGAGAUACAUAGAUGACCACAGCAAAUUUCAGUUACAUGUGGAAUUUAGGUCUCUUCUGUAAGCUUUGUGCUAUGUGGAGAGCUAACUGCUGAAAUGCUUUUGAAGUAACACGGCGGCAGAUUACAAAGACUAGUUCUUUGCUGUUUAAAAAAAAUACAAUGUUUUUCCACAAAAAUCAUUUAGAUAUAUCAGAUAUGCCAAACUGGAAACACAGCCAAGUGCUGGAUACUUUACCACAAGGUUACUUUAGCAAGGUCUGUCCUGUCUUCUCAGAAAGGUCUGACCUUGGAAAAUUCCCCUCAGUCCAAAAUUAAAGCACCUUAUCUUGACUACGUUCUUAGGACAGAAGAGCUGACACAUGUUGGUUCCUCUAAGGUUAAAAAAACCCCAAACCUUAGUUAAUCUUUUCAGCAGUAAAGUCCAAAUCAAUAGAGUCAUCUUCAAUGUGUAUCUGCAAAACCAAUGUCUUACCUAUGUGUUAUAUAUUAUCAGGUAUUAAAUAUGUUCUUCAAUGUGUUUACUAUUGCAUUAAAACUUAUCAGCCAUGGUAGAAUAGUCUGUCUGGUGGUGUCUUUAUGCACCACCAAACUGAUCUUAAGAAUGACAUAAAAUGUGGCAUAAAGUAAGAUAGAUAUGAGUCUAAACAAAGAGGUUGAUAUAACAAAUAACCUUAGUAGCCAUACAAAUGGCCAGCAAGGUGCUUUGUCUUGCAUCCUUUUUAUACUGGUAAAACCCCAAGGUGAAACCCACUUAUUGCACAGAAUGGUACAGCUUAUUUGGCACUUUUGCACUGAUGCAAGUUACACAGGUAAAGCACUUCUGUUGCUCCAACAGGAUGCUCCUGUCUUAAGAGAGCUUUCUGGGAAGGCUAUGCUGACAUUUUUUCUGACAUGGAUUUGACUCUACUUUUAAUCAGAGUGUACAUUUUAAGUGUAACUUUCAUGUGUACAUUUUUAUGAUAGAGUAAGCAUGUUUCUUCCCAUUUAUUUUGAAUCCAUUAAUGACAGGUUGAAAAUGAAAAAUGCUCUCCUAUACCAGGAAGGUGCAUAUCAGGGACAGGCACUACAAUAACUAUGCUGGCUUCAAAGCUAAUUGAAUUUACUUUAGUACGUUUUUCACCUAUAGACAAACCGACAGGUGCCAACACCAUCAUUGCCUCACUCACCUUCCUGACCUAUCUUUAAAACUAGAAAAAAGAGCUCAUCAGCUCCUCUCCAUUUCAAUUUUGUGCUUCCCAGCCUGAAGAUCUUUUUAUGUCCUAGCUUCUGGCAUGAUGCCUUCCAGUCACUGGUCAGAUUCAGCAGUGGCAGCUGCUAGCAGAAAAUCCUCCUAUUCAAGAGAUGACCUUAUGUGCUCCAAACACUGCUUUCUCAUUCUGACUAAGUCACUUCUCCAUGUUUAACAUGCCUACACUAACACCAUGAUGCAGAUAGAUAGGCUGCAAGUGUUCUGCAGCAAAAGAUAUUAUUUAAAACGUAAGAGAUUUUGCAUUUUAAAUUCAAUGUGAUGGUGAGAGUCUUUUUUACUAAAAGAAGUCAACAGAAUUUCACACAUAGAAUCCAAAUUUUAUUUUGAAAUCAGUGUCACAGUAUCCACCCUGACUUCCUUCUUAAAGAUCCGCUGCAAAAUCCUGUAAUGCCUUGUGAAUAAUGUUCGUGAUUCACUCCCAUGCAAAUCUCUUAUUUUCCAAUGCAAAUAUUGCAUAAGGGUAGCACAGUACUCUUAAACACGAACAAGGCAUAAACCAAUUUUGUUCAGAUUAUGAUUGUGUCAUAAAUAAGGCUCUGUAUCCACUCAGUUCAAAUCGGCCUCCUUAAGCAGGCUUGCACUCGUUAAAUCCUGUCUGUGACCUCAGGCAGCCUGUUCUAAAUGCAAGACUCUUGCAUGUGUGAAGAGAGGAGCUUGGAAAAUAACACUGAACUGAGCUAAGGGGAAAUCUAUUUGGAUUCAUUACAUCUAUGACUGGACUGCCUUUGUAAAUAACACUUAUUUACAUAUGUUUUAAGAAGUCAGGUUUGCAUAUGGAAAAGACAAUCACAAGAAUAUGAAAAACUCCUUCAUGUUUAGGUGACCCACAGCCACAAAAAAACUGCCUGGGUGCUUGUCCCUCAUAUUUUACAGAAAAUAUACUCAGUGCAUUCCUACUAAAAUUCUUACAUUUCUUCCAUCCCUUUUUUGUUCCACACCAUUCUUUUUUGUUUUCUGCCCAUCAUACUAGCUUCAGUAUGGAGUAGAUUUGACAUAUGCAAUUCACUAUGUGCAGGUAUGUCUGAAAUUACUGCUAUUACUGAGGGACAAGCUAGGAACUUUAAGAACUUUCCAGCAGCACAAAGUAAAGUAAAAAAAGGUUACAUACAGGAAAGUGACUGUUUUUAAACAAAUAUUUUGUGAUACUUUUCCUGACUAAAGCAUACUUGUCAGGUAACAGUUUUCCUAGAUGUUAACCUGGGUAACCUGUUUGAAAUGGUUUAGCUCUGUUAACCAUUUAAUUUUAAAACAUAAGGCUUUUUCCUACUUUAGGCUUGGCUUAGGGGACCCAGUAAGGUGCCAUAGCUAGAAAUUUCUAGUGGUUGUGCUGACACAAUUAAGGGACUUGACUCAUGCUCACACAGGACUCUGACUCAGGAGCUAGAAUGGCUUAUGCUGGUGUGGCUGUAAUAUUUCCUGCUCACAGUCAUCUAUUUUGGUCUAGCUUUCUCUCCUCUUUUUGAUUUUACUCACUCCACUGCAAGAUGGGCAAGGCUCUUUGGGAAGCAGCCAUAACCCCAAAGAUUUUAGGCUUGUCAAAAUGAACCAGCACUGAUACAUGCUUCUUUAAUUCAUGACUUAGUCACCCUGCAGUAAAGGUGGAGAUGGAGAACUGCACCUGGAAAUGCUCUCUCUUGCCCAGUGUUGGCCACGUUUAAGUGACAAUUUUAAGACAUUAGCUUGUGGACAUGCAUCCUCUUUAAGGGUCGUCCAUGGUAUCUGAGAUUACUACCAUCUGUAGAUGCCUAACACAACCAUUGCUGUGUUGUGUUAACCAAGCCAGUUUUACCCACAAAAGAUUAAAAGGGGUAAUGGGGGAAAAAAGGGAGGUGUCUGUCCUGAGAGGAUACUGAGAAUCUAGGAUAUUAAAACAUUAUCAGAGUGUGCUGCUGUAUCCAAACAGUCCCUUGUAAACAAUAUCAGGACCUGUGCAACAUGUGUUCAGCCAGAAAGUCACCUCCCAGCUAGGAGCCAGGUGAAUCAAAUACAAGUCCAUGUGUGACCAUGUUGGUACAAAAUUUGACAGUUUAUGUUCACCUGUAUGAAAAGUUUAUGCUGAGCUCACUUUACUGUAAAGUGGCUGAGGAUAACUCACUGCUGUGUCUGGCUGUUUGCCUGAGGCAGUUGUAACCUUGGUCAGGGAGAAGAGGGGGGGGUAGAGAAGCAGAAAGCUGCAGAUGACAAUCUCUUUAGAUGCAUCUUGCUAAAUUUUCAACAGGAAGAACAGGAUCAAAUGGACAUCAUGUGACUGUGCAGAGGUCCUAACUCACACUGUACAGUUAGUGUGGAAGAUCCACCCUCUGCUUUCAAUGGAGAACAGAACUUGUAUUUAGGACAUAGUGAUGAAAAUAAACCAGUUUGAAUUAUCUUUGCCUAAAGGCUAAGACCCACUGAAAAUCUGAGGUUGUUUUGUUUGGUUUUUGGUUUUUUGUUUGUUUGUUUGUUUGUUUUUUGUUUUUUGUUUGUUUGUUUGUUGGUUUUUUUUUUGUUUGGUUUUUUUGUUUGUUUGUUUGUUUUUUGGUGUU